UACGUAGGGUGCAAGCGUUGUCCGGAUUUAUUGGGCGUAAAGAGCUCGUAGGCGGUCUGUCGCGUCGGAUGUGAAAACCCAGGGCUCAACCCUGGGCCUGCAUUCGAUACGGGCAGACUAGAGUACGGCAGGGGAGACUGGAAUUCCUGGUGUAGCGGUGAAAUGCGCAGAUAUCAGGAGGAACACCGGUGGCGAAGGCGGUUCUCUGGGCAUGUCCUGACGCUGAGGAGCGAAAGUGUGGGGAGCGAACAGG
rnacentral:rRNA from 1 species